CACGCCCUAAACGAUGUCAACUAGUUGUUGGUGGAGUAAAAUCCAUGAGUAACGUAGCUAACGCGUGAAGUUGACCGCCUGGGGAGUACGGUCGCAAGAUUAAAACUCAAAUGAAUUGACGGGGGCCCGCACAAGCGGUGGAUUAUGUGGAUUAAUUCGAUGCAACGCGAAAAACCUUACCUGGCCUUGACAUGUACGGAACUUUCUAGAGAUAGAUUGGUGCCUUCGGGAACCGUAACACAGGUGCUGCAUGGCUGUCGUCAGCUCGUGUCGUGAGAUGUUGGGUUAAGUCCCGCAACGAGCGCAACCCUUGCCAAUAAUUGCCAUCAUUUAGUUGGGCACUUUAUUGGGACUGCCGGUGACAAACCGGAGGAAGGUGGGGAUGACGUCAAGUCCUCAUGGCCCUUAUGGCCAGGGCUUCACACGUAAUACAAUGGUCGGUACAGAGGGUCGCCAACCCGCGAGGGGGAGCAAAUCCCAGAAAGCCGAUCGUAGUCCGGAUUGUUCUCUGCAACUCGAGAGCAUGAAGUCGGAAUCGCUAGUAAUCGCGGAUCAGAAUGUCGCGGUGAAUACGUUCCCGGGCCUUGUACACACCGCCCGUCACACCAUGGGAGUGGGUUUUACCAGAAGUAGGUAGUCUAACCUUCGGGGGGACGCUUACCACGGUAGUAUUCAUGACUGGGGUGAAGUCGUAACAAGGUAGCCGUAAUCU
rnacentral:rRNA from 1 species